rnacentral:rRNA from 1 species
UACGAAGGGGGCUAGCGUUGCUCGGAAUUACUGGGCGUAAAGCGCACGUAGGCGGAUUGUUAAGUCGGGGGUGAAAUCCUGGAGCUCAACUCCAGAACUGCCUUCGAUACUGGCGAUCUCGAGUUCGGGAGAGGUGAGUGGAACUGCGAGUGUAGAGGUGAAAUUCGUAGAUAUUCGCAAGAACACCAGUGGCGAAGGCGGCUCACUGGCCCGAUACUGACGGCUGAGGUGCGAAAGCGUGGGGAGCAAACAGG